rnacentral:rRNA from 2 species
UCACCUGUUUUUCAAAAACAUCUCUUAAAGAAUUUAAUUUUAAGUCAAAUCUGCUCAAUGAAUAUUUAAAUAGCUGCAGUAUCAAUAACUGUACAAAGGUAGCAUAAUAAUUAGUUUUUUAAUUAAAAACUAGAAUGAAUGAUUUAAUGAAAUAUAAACUGUUUCAAAUUUAUUUAAUAAAUUUAUUAUUUAAGUAAAAAAAAUUAAAUAAAUAUUAAAGACGAGAAGACCCUAAAGAAUUUUUAUACUUUAAUUUAAAAUAAAUUUAAAUUAUUUUAAUUGGGGAAAUUUUAAAAUUUAAUAAAUUUUUAAUUAAAUUAAACAUUUAUUUUUGAAUAAAUUAAACUUUUUUUAAAUAAACAAAUAAAAUUACCUUAGGGAUAACAGCAUAAUUUUUUUAAAAAGUUCAAAUUUAUAAAAAAGUUUAUGACCUCG